rnacentral:misc_RNA from 1 species
AUAGCCGUGACGGUACAUGGCAUUUUUUCCCCAGAGGGUUUUGGGUGAAGUGAUCAUUUUUUAAUGUAUCAUUGCAAAACCUGCGUAGUUCUAGUUUUGCAGCUGCAAGAAUAUUUUUGCUCUGUUGAGAAGAAAAAAUGGCUGUUCCAAAUAUGAUCUCAUCGAUUUUUAUUUCUUUUGCAGUUGCCUGGACGCACAGAUAAUG